UCGAUUAGAGUUUGAUCAUGGCUCAGUCUGAACGCUGGCGGCGUGGCUAAGACAUGCAAGUCGAACGGUGUAGCAAUACACAGUGGCGGACGGGUGAGUAAUGUAUCGCUAAUGUACCCCGAUGUCUGGGAUAGCUAGUCGAAAGACUAGGUAAUACCAGAUGAGACCACAGAACCGCAUGGUUCGGUGCUCAAAGGGUCACCGCAUUGGGCGCAGGCGAUAUCGUAUCAGCUAGUUGGUGAGGUAACGGCUCACCAAGGCGACGACGCGUAUCCGGACUGAGAGGUCGGCCGGACACAUUGGGACUGAGACACUGCCCAGACUCCUACGGGGGGCUGCAGUAACGAAUCUUCCGCAAUGCACGAAAGUGUGACGGAGCGACGCCGCGUGUAGGAUGAAGUCCUUCGGGAUGUAAACUACUGUCAGGGGAAAGAAAGUUCUGAUCUACCCCAAAGGAAGAGGCGGCUAACUCUGUGCCAGCAGCCGCGGUAAGACAGAGGCCUCGAGCGUUAGACGGAAUCACUGGGCUUAAAGCGUGUGUAGGCGGAAGGGUAAGUACCUUGUGAAAUCCCACGGCUCAACCGUGGAACUGCUUGGUAUACUGCUUUUCUUGAGCAAUCCAGGGGCGGGUNGAACAGAUGGUGGNNCGGUGAAAUGCGUAGAUAUCAUCUGGAACGCCAAUGGUG
rnacentral:rRNA from 1 species